GACGAACGCUGGCGGCGUGCUUAACACAUGCAAGUCGAGCGGUAAGGCCCUUUCGGGGGUACACGAGCGGCGAACGGGUGAGUAACACGUGGGUGACCUGCCCUCAGCUCUGGGAUAAGCCUGGGAAACCGGGUCUAAUACUGGAUAUGACUCCAUGACGCAUGUUGUGGGGUGGAAAGCCUUGUGCGGCUGAGGAUGGGCCCGCGGCCUAUCAGCUUGUUGGUGGGGUGAGGCCUACCAAGGCGACGACGGGUAGCCGGCCUGAGAGGACGACCAGCCACACUGGGACUGAGACACGGCCCAGACUCCUACGGGAGGC
rnacentral:rRNA from 1 species